rnacentral:rRNA from 1 species
GAUGAACGCUGGCGGCGUGCCUAAUACAUGCAAGUCGAGCGAACGGACGAGAAGCUUGCUUCUCUGAUGUUAGCGGCGGACGGGUGAGUAACACGUGGAUAACCUACCUAUAAGACUGGGAUAACUUCGGGAAACCGGAGCUAAUACCGGAUAAUAUUUUGAACCGCAUGGUUCAAAAGUGAAAGACGGUCUUGCUGUCACUUAUAGAUGGAUCCGCGCUGCAUUAGCUAGUUGGUAAGGUAACGGCUUACCAAGGCAACGAUGCAUAGCUGACCUGAGAGGGUGAUCGGCCACACUGGAACUGAGACACGGUCCAGACUCCUACGGGAGGCAGCAGUAGGGAAUCUUCCGCAAUGGGCGCAAGCCUGACGGAGCAACGCCGCGUGAGUGAUGAAGGUCUUCGGAUCGUAAAACUCUGUUAUUAGGGAAGAACAUAUGUGUAAGUAACUGUGCACAUCUUGACGGUACCUAAUCAGAAAGCCACGGCUAACUACGUG